CUGCCGAAGGUGGGGUUAAUAAUUGGGGUGAAGUCGUAACAAGGUAGCCGUAUCGGAAGGUGCGGCUGGAUCACCUCCUUUCUAGGGAG
rnacentral:rRNA from 1 species